rnacentral:lncRNA from 1 species
AAGUUGAGUUCUUUUAGUAGUUGGCAAUGCAGUGCUUUAUAGCCCAACUUUUGUUAUGCAUUUAUUACAAAUUCUUUUUAAAAUUUUGUGACUUUAGUUAAAAUAAAUCCUUAAUAAUAUUUUAAAAUUUGUUAUUAUUUAGUAUUUUUAAAUAAGUUAUACUUGAUUUAUUUAAAACAUAGUCUUAAAGGUCCUUUCCAUUUUGGAGUUUUAAAUAGAAACACUGCCACCUUGUGUUAUGUGCAGCUAAUGUUGGAUAAACUGAAAAUCACUAACUGGGUGUAUUGCCAAUUGAGGAAAAUAUACUUUUCUGUAUUCUUACACUUGCUGACCCGUGUUUUCUUAUGUUUUACCAAAGCGAAAUUUGACACACAUGCAAGAUGAAGUAAAUGUGAAGUCACAUCAGAGGGAGCAUCAAAAUAUUCAGGAUUUGGAGAUUGAAAAUGAAGAUUUGAAAGAGAGGUUGAGAAAAAUUCAGCAAGAACAAAGAAUACUUUUGGAUAAAGUCAAUGGUUUACAGUUACAGCUGAAUGAG